rnacentral:rRNA from 1 species
GUACCGGGGCUAAACAUAUUACCGAAGCUGUGGAUUGUCCUUUGGACAAUGGUAGGAGAGCGUUCUAAGGGCGUUGAAGCAUGAUCGUAAGGACAUGUGGAGCGCUUAGAAGUGAGAAUGCCGGUGUGAGUAGCGAAAGACGGGUGAGAAUCCCGUCCACCGAUUGACUAAGGUUUCCAGAGGAAGGCUCGUCCGCUCUGGGUUAGUCGGGUCCUAAGCUGAGGCCGACAGGCGUAGGCGAUGGAUAACAGGUUGAUAUUCCUGUACCACCUAUAAUCGUUUUAAUCGAUGGGGGGACGCAGUAGGAUAGGCGAAGCGUGCGAUUGGAUUGCACGUCUAAGCAGUAAGGCUGAGUAUUAGGCAAAUCCGGUACUCGUUAAGGCUGAGCUGUGAUGGGGAGAAGACAUUGUGUCUUCGAGUCGUUGAUUUCACACUGCCGAGAAAAGCCUCUAGAUAGAAAAUAGGUGCCCGUACCGCAAACC